UGCUUUAUCUAUGGAUUUCUGCUGGGCACAUUUGGCCUUGAAUCCUAGGGCAAAACUGGGGUAAAGGAUUUUAAACAGAAGGUCAGAGUGAGUGGAAACCUCAGGUCCUCAGGAGAGCAGGAAUGGCGGCCAGUCCCAGGCAGGGACAGCGCGCAGGGUGACACGGGUCCCACGAGGCCCUUCUCAACUUCACCGUCCCGGGCCGGCUCCCCACAGGUUCCGCUGGACCCCUGAAGACGAGAUGGGGAGCCGCCGGUCGCAGGCUGCUGACACGCCACCGCCUGCAGGGCAGGAGCCACCAGCCUGAUGCCAACCCUCUGCACUCUCAGGGUGGGGUGCCCCAGCUCCUGUCCGGGUGCCGCCCUUUGAGUCACGAGCGGACUGUGGUCAUGCGACUGUAAAUCACAUGACCGCGAUCACGUGAGCCUGUCCCAUGGGGGCUGAGACAGGGCCUGGGCUUCAGUCUCUGAGGUCCGGGGAGGCUGGCACUGUGGCCCCGGAGCAGUCGAGCACGAUGAACCAAAUGACCCCGGACCGGGAGCGGGCACCGGCGGUCGUCAGAGGCCACGUGGGAGCGACCCUAGUCCGUGGAGGAGAUCCGCAGGAGCACCCAGAGCUGGUCGCUGGCUGCUGACCUACUGCAGUUUCUACGGGAAUUUUCACAGCAGACCAUCUCUAGGACCCAUGAAAUCAAGAAACAAGUGGACAGACUGAUUCAGGAGACGAAAGCCACGGAUUGUCACCUUCAUAGUGUCUUCAAUGACUUCCUCAUGCUGGCCACUACCCAGUGUAUUGAGACACAGUGCACGACGAAGAAGUAGAGGAGCCUGGGGCUCAAGGUGGAGGCCGAGAAGACAAACCAGGAAAAGACCCAGGAACAAAAAGAAGUAGAUCUGAUUCCUAAAGUCCAAGAGGCCGUGAACUAUGGUUUACAAGUACUGGACAGUGCAUUUGAGCAACUUGACAGAAAAGCAGGGAACUCGGACUCUGAAGAUGAUGAUGUUAACGAGCAGAGUGACCUCUUCAGGGAGGCGCCCCAGGAAUGGCACACCCCAAACCCCGUGAAUGAAGGUAAGCUCCCCUUUUUCAUGUGAGAGAACUCCAUUCCCUUCCCAUUAGCAGGUGGAAGCCCCAAGUGGUUCCCAAGCUAAAGGCUGUGGUGAUUGCUUUGGACCAGUUGCAGACAGUUUGUCUUCCUAUGUUAGCUUUCUGUUCUCUCAAUCUAGUGGCAGAGCACCUGAGAUAACUUACAAGGACAGGACGACAGGGUUGUUUGGGCUCAUAGUUUCAGAGGCUGUCAGCCAUGGACACUUGACACCAUUGCCUUGUCCUGGGUGGCACAGCCCACUGUGGGGGAGGGUGGGUGGGUGAGGCUGCUCCCCUCUUGGCAGCCAGGAAGAGAGAGGGGAAAGGUCAGAUCCCAGUGUCCCCUCAAGGGCACCCCUAGUGGCCUAACCUUCCUAAAGCAGUGAUGGCGAACCUGUGGCAGGUGUGCUGCAGCCAACUGUUAUCAUUGAAAGCUCUAAAAGAUUCACCUUAAUUGUCCUUAAAAAUCCAGCACCUAUUGGUAGUGACACAGGCUGGGGACAGCCUUCAACAGAUGGACCCAUGGGGGAUAUUCCAGAGACACACAGCACUUGACUAAUUUGACUCUUGGUAAAAACAGUACCACCUAUAAACUCCUUCUUCAAGAAUUCAUAAAAGGUCGGACAGGAAAAGUAUAGCAAUAUGGAGAAUUUUUUUUUUGGUACCAGGGAUCGAGCUUGGGUCCUUCCGCUUGCAAGGAAGGGUGCUAAACCACUGAGCUAAAUCCCCGGCCCUAUAUAUCUUUUAAAUGAUACAAUACUCCUACACCAACACUCCUUGCGUACUACUGACUCAUGAGGACAUGACUGAGGAGAUCCUAUAUAGGAAAUUCUCAAUGAUUUCCAUUAAUAUUGUGAAAAUCAAUCUAUACAAACACAAAAAUUGUAAGGAAUAAUUAAAUACAUGGUUAUGGAAGGUUCUUUUGACUUAUACAUAGUUAUAAAAAAUACUUGUGAGUUCAGAGAUGUAAAAAUAAAGAAGUGUUUUGUCUGAGUAGCAAUCUGUAGAUCUCUACUUAGUUUUUCCAUCAACUCCUGAAGCUCUAAGAGUCUUGGCACCCACUCUCAAGUUUAUGCUAAAUACUUGUAUGAACAAAACUACUCUGUCUCCUAAUUUUCCUUAUUAUUUGUACCUUACUUUGGUUAGAGAAUGAAUACAACUGCUUUGUGAAAACAUACUGUUUGCUUGUUGGUUGCUUAGGAAGAAUAACACACAAAGCCAAUUCUACCACCAAAUGAUUUCUGCAAAGUAAGAACUAUAGUAUUAUAAAAUCAUGCAGAGGUCCUCCUGGUUGAAUUCUCUAGGCUUCUUUAUUACUUUCUUUAUGCUGUUUUUUUGAUUGCUGUGAUUCACACAACAUGGUGUACAAUUCCUUAACAGAAACACAUUCCAAUAUUCAUCUUCUUCUUACUUAUUGAGGUUGUCUUCCUGAAUUCUGUGGAUGGUGACAGAUUUUUAGUCACUGAUUGUGUUGUAAGUGGAUAUUUGUCA